CCUACGGGUGGCAGCAGUAGGGAAUCUUUCACAAUGGACGAAAGCCUGAUGGAGCAACGCCGCGUGCAGGAUGAAGGCCUUCGGGUUGUAAACUGCUUUUAUAAGCGAGGAAUAUGAUGGUAACUUAUGAAUAAGGAUCGGCUAACUACGUGCCAGCAGCCGCGGUCAUACGUAGGAUCCGAGCAUUAUCCGGAGUGACUGGGUGUAAAGAGUUGCGUAGGUGGCAUAAUAAGUAGCUAGUGAAAUCUGGUGGCUCAACCAUUCAGACUAUUAGCUAAACUGUUAAGCUCGAGACCGUUAGGGGUAACUGGAAUUUCUAGUGUAGGAGUGAAAUCCGUAGAUAUUAGAAGGAACACCAAUAGCGUAGGCAGGUUGCUGGGACGGUUCUGACACUAAGGCACGAAAGCGUAGGGAGCAAACGGGAUUAGAUACCCGAGUAGUC
rnacentral:rRNA from 1 species